GAUGAACGCUAGCUACAGGCUUAACACAUGCAAGUCGAGGGGCAGCGGGAUUGAAGCUUGCUUCAAUUGCCGGCGACCGGCGCACGGGUGAGUAACGCGUAUCCAACCUUCCGUACACUCAGGGAUAGCCUUUCGAAAGAAAGAUUAAUACCUGAUGGUAUGAUGAGAUUGCAUGAUAGCAUCAUUAAAGAUUUAUCGGUGUACGAUGGGGAUGCGUUCCAUUAGGUAGUAGGCGGGGUAACGGCCCACCUAGCCUACGAUGGAUAGGGGUUCUGAGAGGAAGGCCCCCCCACAUUGGAACUGAGACACGGUCCAAACUCCUACGGGAGGCAGCAGUGAGGAAUAUUGGUCAAAUGGGCGAGAGCCUGAACCAGCCAAGUAGCGUGAAGGAUGAAGGUCUUACGGAUUGUAAACUUCUUUUAUAAGGGAAUAAACCCUCCACGUGUGGGAGCUUGUAUGUACCUUAUGAAUAAGCAUCGGCUAACUCCGUGCCAGCAG
rnacentral:rRNA from 1 species